GCUUAAUGAUGAUAUAAAGGCUAAUGUGACUUGACCAGCUGGGUUGCACCCUCAGCCCAUUCCAGUAAUACGGGUCUGUAAUCUUGGUGGACAAUGCUGAGCUAUGCGUGUUCGCUGUAAGGGCAGGCCGACAUAAAAUCCCCUGCCCUGCGUCCCUGGAAAAUACAUCUUUGGGAUGCGUUAGCUCUGAGUGAGUGUUUCUAUGAGCUGACGAGGGGCUGUGGGGAUAGGAUAGGACAGCGCAUCCAAGGUUUGGGUUGCAGGGGGCAGCCCAUGUUACAGCUGGUGAGAUGUGAGCACAUGUCUUUGGUAAUCUGAUGACU
rfam:Cariama cristata contig87673, whole genome shotgun sequence.